rnacentral:pre_miRNA from 1 species
UUAACUCAAACUUGAUUUGGAAUGUUUGCCUACGUUUGCCGCUAGGGGCGCUGUUCCAACUCCAUACCAAUUUGAGUAA